UACGGGGGGUGCGAGCGUUGUCCGGAAUCACUGGGCGUAAAGGGUGCGUAGGCGGGUUUUUAAGUCAGGGGUGAAAUCCUGGAGCUCAACUCCAGAACUGCCUUUGAUACUGAAGAUCUUGAGUUCGGGAGAGGUGAGUGGAACUGCGAGUGUAGAGGUGAAAUUCGUAGAUAUUCGCAAGAACACCAGUGGCGAAGGCGGCUCACUGGCCCGAUACUGACGCUGAGGCACGAAAGCGUGGGGAGCAAACAGG
rnacentral:rRNA from 1 species